rnacentral:rRNA from 1 species
AACGAACGCUGGCGGCGUGCUUAACACAUGCAAGUCGAACGGAAAGGCCCUGCUUUUGUGGGGUGCUCGAGUGGCGAACGGGUGAGUAACACGUGAGUAACCUGCCCUUGACUUUGGGAUAACUUCAGGAAACUGGGGCUAAUACCGGAUAGGAGCUCCUGCUGCAUGGUGGGGGUUGGAAAGUUUCGGCGGUUGGGGAUGGACUCGCGGCUUAUCAGCUUGUUGGUGGGGUAGUGGCUUUCCAAGGCUUUGACGGGUAGCCGGCCUGAGAGGGUGACCGGCCACAUUGGGACUGAGAUACGGCCCAGACUCCUACGGGAGGCAGCAGUGGGGAAUAUUGCACAAUGGGCGGAAGCCUGAUGCAGCAACGCCGCGUGCGGGAUGACGGCCUUCGGGUUGUAAACCGCUUUCGCCUGUGACGAAGCGUGAGUGACGGUAAUGGGUAAAGAAGCACCGGCUAACUACGUG